CGGCCACAUUGGGACUGAGACACGGCCCAGACUCCUACGGGAGGCAGCAGUGGGGAAUAUUGCACAAUGGGGGAAACCCUGAUGCAGCGACGCCGCGUGGAGGAAGAAGGUCUUCGGAUUGUAAACUCCUGUUGUUGAGGAAGAUAAUGACGGUACUCAACAAGGAAGUGACGGCUAACUACGUGCCAGCAGCCGCGGUAAAACGUAGGUCACAAGCGUUGUCCGGAAUUACUGGGUGUAAAGGGAGCGCAGGCGGGAGAACAAGUUGGAAGUGAAAUCCAUGGGCUCAACCCAUGAACUGCUUUCAAAACUGUUUUUCUUGAGUAGUGCAGAGGUAGGCGGAAUUCCCGGUGUAGCGGUGGAAUGCGUAGAUAUCGGGAGGAACACCAGUGGCGAAGGCGGCCUACUGGGCACCAACUGACGCUGAGGCUCGAAAGUGUGGGUAGCAAACAGGAUUAGAUACCCUGGUAGUCCACACCGUAAACGAUGAUUACUAGGUGUUGGAGGAUUGACCCCUUCAGUGCCGCAGUUAACACAAUAAGUAAUCCACCUGGGGAGUACGACCGCAAGGUUGAAACUCAAAGGAAUUGACGGGGGCCCGCACAAGCAGUGGAGUAUGUGGUUUAAUUCGACGCAACGCGAAGAACCUUACCAAGUCUUGACAUCCUGCGACGGUGCUGGAAACAGUACUUUCCUUCGGGACGCAGAGACAGGUGGUGCAUGGUUGUCGUCAGCUCGUGUCGUGAGAUGUUGGGUUAAGUCC
rnacentral:rRNA from 1 species